CAAAUACUCCCUCCCGUUCCAGAAUUCUUGCCUUAGAUUUGUCUAGAAAUGGAUGUAUCAAAAUACUAAAACGUGACUAGAUACAUUCAUAUUUAGACAAAUCUAAGAUAAGAAUUUUGGGACGGAGGGAGUACUCG
rfam:Hordeum vulgare subsp. vulgare, WGS project CAJW01000000 data, contig: morex_contig_442813